rnacentral:rRNA from 1 species
AUUGAACGCUGGCGGCAUGCUUUACACAUGCAAGUCGAACGGUAACAGGCCGCAAGGUGCUGACGAGUGGCGAACGGGUGAGUAAUGCAUCGGAACGUGCCCAGUCGUGGGGGAUAACGCAGCGAAAGCUGUGCUAAUACCGCAUACGAUCUAUGGAUGAAAGCGGGGGACCGUAAGGCCUCGCGCGAUUGGAGCGGCCGAUGUCAGAUUAGGUAGUUGGUGGGGUAAAGGCCUACCAAGCCAACGAUCUGUAGCUGGUCUGAGAGGACGACCAGCCACACUGGGACGGAGACACGGCCCAGACUCCUACGGGAGGCAGCAGUGGGGAAUUUUGGACAAUGGGCGCAAGCCUGAUCCAGCAAUGCCGCGUGCAGGAAGAAGGCCUUCGGGUUGUAAACUGCUUUUGUACGGAACGAAACGGUCUGGGUUAAUACCCUGGGCUAAUGACGGUACCGUAAGAAUAAGCACCGGCUAACUACGUGCCAGCAGCCGCCGUAACAC